GACGAACGCUGGCGGCGUGCUUAACACAUGCAAGUCGAACGGAAAGGCCCUGCGCUUGUGGGGUGCUCGAGUGGCGAACGGGUGAGUAACACGUGAGUAGCCUGUCCUUGUCUUUGGGAUAACAUCAGGAAACUGGGGCUAAUACCGGAUAGGAGCUCUUGCUGCACGGUGGGGGUUGGAAAGUUUCGGCGGUUGGGGAUGGACUGGCGGCUUAUCAGCUUGUUGGUGGGGUAGUGGCUUACCAAGGCUUUGACGGGUAGCCGGCCUGGGAGGGUGACCGGCCACAUUGGGACUGAGAUACGGCCCAGACGCCUACGGGAGGCAGCAGUGGGGAAUCUUGCACAAUGGGCGGAAGCCUGAUGCAGCAGCGCCGCGUGCGGGAUGACGGCCUUCGGGUUAUAAACCGCUUUCGCCUGUGACGAAGCGUGAGUGACGGUAAUGGGUAAAGAAGCACCGGCUAACUACGUG
rnacentral:rRNA from 1 species